rnacentral:lncRNA from 1 species
GGUGAUUUUGAAAGGUCUCAGCUUCUUAUGCAUACCCCUUGGGGUCAGGAGAGCUGGGACCAAUGAGUGGGAGGUGGAUUUUGGCGGAACACAGGAGGAAUUCUCUUAGUCAGAGCCAUCCAAAAAUGGAAAGACCUGACUCAGAAGACAGCGUGUCCCCUGCCUGCAUAAGGUCCUGGUGAGGUCCUGUCAAGGGUGCUCUGCCCUGUGCUUUGACAGGUGUGUGCGGAGAUGAAAGAUGAGGAUGUCAAGACUUGGAGUAGGUGACAGUUGGCCUUGGGCUUCGGUGGCCAACCCAUGACUACAAAAGCCCGAGAAGCCAGCAGCUUCCCCGGCUCCUCCACCAAGUGGCCUCUGGGUGAUGGGGAAGCUUGUCCUCUGCUUUGUCACACACAAAACUCUAAAAGUCAGCAUCCCAACGCAUCGGCCUGGAGAGCCCGUCCAGGAGGAUUUAUGUGGAAUCUGGCUUUUCUGAUAGCAUCGACGUUCCUUCCCGUGCCUUCUGAGUCUGUUUCUCUUAAUUUGACUGUGGUCUCUGCUCUUCGCUGGACUCAGGGAGAUGUCACAAAUUCUGCACCAGAAUCUCACAAAUCACAAAGAACUUACUCAUGUAACGAAACACCACCUGUUUCCCAGUAACUAUGGAAAUAAAAAAAAAUUAAUAAUAAAAAAUUUAAAAAAUA